rfam:Parcubacteria (Magasanikbacteria) bacterium GW2011_GWA2_46_17 TX39_C0013, whole genome shotgun sequence.
AUAAUAUACGCAACAUAACCAUAGACAGCAGGCGGUCGCCUAAGGCGACCUUAAUCUCCUGCCGAGGUACAAAACGUUUUUUAACGAAGGUCGAUUUGUGCUUAUAGUCUGUGGAAAACACAGAUUUUUUGUUACUGGC